rnacentral:rRNA from 1 species
CAGCAUGAGUUAUGUCAUGUUAUCGAUAUGUGAAUACAUAGCAUAUCAGAAGGCACACCCGGAGAACUGAAACAUCUUAGUACCCGGAGGAAGAGAAAGAAAAUUCGAUUCCCUUAGUAGCGGCGAGCGAAACGGGAAGAGCCCAAACCAACAAGCUUGCUUGUUGGGGUUGUAGGACACUCUAUACGGAGUUACAAAGGACGACAUUAGACGAAUCAUCUGGAAAGAUGAAUCAAAGAAGGUAAUAAUCCUGUAGUCGAAAAUGUUGUCUCUCUUGAGUGGAUCCUGAGUACGACGGAGCACGUGAAAUUCCGUCGGAAUCUGGGAGGACCAUCUCCUAAGGCUAAAUACUCUCUAGUGACCGAUAGUGAACCAGUACCGUGAGGGAAAGGUGAAAAGCACCCCGGAAGGGGAGUGAAAUAGAACCUGAAACCGUGUGCUUACAAGUAGUCAGAGCCCGUUAAUGGGUGAUGGCGUGCCUUUUGUAGAAUGAACCGGCGAGUUACGAUUUGAUGCAAGGUUAAGCAGUAAAUGUGGAGCCGUAGCGAAAGCGAGUCUGAAUAGGGCGUUUAGUAUUUGGUCGUAGACCCGAAACCAGGUGAUCUACCCUUGGUCAGGUUGAAGUUCAGGUAACACUGAAUGGAGGACCGAACCGACUUACGUUGAAAAGUGAGCGGAUGAACUGAGGGUAGCGGAGAAAUUCCAAUCGAACCUGGAGAUAGCUGGUUCUCUCCGAAAUAGCUUUAGGGCUAGCCUCAAGUGAUGAUUAUUGGAGGUAGAGCACUGUUUGGACGAGGGGCCCCUCUCGGGUUACCGAAUUCAGACAAACUCCGAAUGCCAAUUAAUUUAACUUGGGAGUCAGAACAUGGGUGAUAAGGUCCGUGUUCGAAAGGGAAACAGCCCAGACCACCAGCUAAGGUCCCAAAAUAUAUGUUAAGUGGAAAAGGAUGUGGCGUUGCCCAGACAACUAGGAUGUUGGCUUAGAAGCAGCCAUCAUUUAAAGAGUGCGUAAUAGCUCACUAGUCGAGUGACACUGCGCCGAAAAUGUACCGGGGCUAAACAUAUUACCGAAGCUGUGGAUUGUCCUUUGGACAAUGGUAGGAGAGCGUUCUAAGGGCGUUGAAGCAUGAUCGUAAGGACAUGUGGAGCGCUUAGAAGUGAGAAUGCCGGUGUGAGUAGCGAAAGACGGGUGAGAAUCCCGUCCACCGAUUGACUAAGGUUUCCAGAGGAAGGCUCGUCCGCUCUGGGUUAGUCGGGUCCUAAGCUGAGGCCGACAGGCGUAGGCGAUGGAUAACAGGUUGAUAUUCCUGUACCACCUAUAAUCGUUUUAAUCGAUGGGGGGACGCAGUAGGAUAGGCGAAGCGUGCGAUUGGAUUGCACGUCUAAGCAGUAAGGCUGAGUAUUAGGCAAAUCCGGUACUCGUUAAGGCUGAGC